AUACUUAUCUGGCAGGGGAGAUACUAUGAUCAUGAAUUUGGUGUUCCCAGGGACGAGGCUUAUCCAUUGCACUCUGGAUGUGCUGACCCCUGCAAUCUCCCCAAAUGUGGGAAACUUGACUGCAUAAUUUGUGGUAGUGGGGAACUGCAUUUGUGCUCUCCACU
rnacentral:snRNA from 1 species